rnacentral:rRNA from 1 species
CACAGGUGCUGCAUGGCUGUCGUCAGCUCGUGUCGUGAGAUGUUGGGUUAAGUCCCGCAACGAGCGCAACCCUUGCCAUUAGUUGCUACGAAAGGGCACUCUAAUGGGACUGCCGGUGACAAACCGGAGGAAGGUGGGGAUGACGUCAAGUCCUCAUGGCCCUUAUAGGUGGGGCUACACACGUCAUACAAUGGCUGGUACAGAGGGUUGCCAACCCGCGAGGGGGAGCUAAUCCCAUAAAGCCAGUCGUAGUCCGGAUCGCAGUCUGCAACUCGACUGCGUGAAGUCGGAAUCGCUAGU